CACAUCGUGUUGGUCAGUGGCGAAUGACACUUGUGAUAUUCCCAUGCACAGGCUACUCCACGAAGUUGGACUACGGGGAAGCCUACUUGGAGUUGGACUUGGACUUGGCAGCAAAGUUCGAUCCACCAUGACGAGGGAAAGACACAUAGUGCACAUCAUGUUGGUCAGAGGCGAACGACACUUGUGAUAUCUUCAUUCACAUGUUAGACUACAGCGAAGCCUACUUGGAGCUGGACUUGGACUUGGCAGCAAAGUUCGAUCCACCAUGAUGAGGGAAAGACACAUAGUGCAGUGCGUCGACUUGGGCCACAUCAUGUUGGUCAGUGGCGAACGACACUUGUGAUAUCUUCAUUCACAUGUUGGACUACAGGGAAGCCAAGUCCCCAUACGAUAUGACUCCGGACUCCGGCUGAUGAGGGAAAGAUACAUAGUGCCACAUCAUGUUGGUCAGUAGCGAACGACACUUGUGAUAUCUUCAUUCACAUGUUAGACUACAGCGAAGCCUACUUGGAGCUGGACUUGGACUUGGCAGCAAAGUUCGAUCCACCAUGAUGAGGGAAAGACACAUAGUGCAGUGCGUCGACUUGGGCCACAUCAUGUUGGUCAGUAGCGAACAACACUUGUGAUAUUCUCAUUCACGGGCCAGCCCACGAUGUUGGACUGCGGGGAAGCCAAGUCCAGUUGCGACCAAGUCCACGCACUCCACGAUGAUCGGAGCCAUGCAAACACCCGUGUAUGUGCGAUAUUACUCACUACUGGACAUCAUUGCGGGAUGUGCAAAGACAACACCUCCAACCACUUGCACACAACCAGCUGCGCAUCGGACAAGUGCUGCAUGGGAAAGCGCUUCCAUCCACGCGCACCUAGCACCGGCCAACUGCGACUGGUCGAUGGACUGGUUAACACUUAACUACCGACCGACCGACCGUUCACCUGCGCGAAGCUCAUCCCAAGUACGGCGAACGGUGGGUGAUGACAAUCACUGCUAGAUAUGCAAAGACAACAACACACGCACCCAGCCCAGCACGACUGGCCGAUGGACUGGUUUACACAUAACUACCAACCGACCGACCGACCGACCGACCGCCACGCGCUUGGCUGGGUCGAUGUGUGAUGAGCGAGCUAGGUUCCUAUUCUCUACCUUCCUACGGACCGACCGACCGACCGACGCGCGCUUGGCAAGGAUAAAGAUAAUGCGUGAUGAGUAAGCUCGUUUCCCAUUCCCACGUCUAACGGCCGACCGACCGACCGACCGACGAACGAUGUGAUGCGUAUUAUAUGGGCUCGCUCCCGUGCACGGCGGAAGCGAGGUUGGUCGUCAGUGCGGUCGAGGUAGCACUUUACCACCGAACGACCAAACGGUGCACCUAGUCUGACCAGAGCGAUGUGUACACCAGUGUGACAGUGCGCAUUAACCCAUUCCCCCGUACCUACCGAGCGGCUGGUGUCGAUCGGGGCUGCCACUGGGUGACGAUAAUGAUGGGUGGUAUAUGAGCUCGCUGCCAUACACUACGCCAGCGCGGUCGGUCGUCACUGCGGUCGAGGUAGCACUUUACCAACGAACGACCAAACACCCAUUCCCGUACCUACCGAGCGGCUCGAGUCGAUCGGGGCUGCCACUGGGUGACGACAAUGAUGGGUGUUAUAUGAGCUCGCUGCCAUACACUACGCCAGCGCGGUCGGUCGUCACUGCGGUCGAGGUAGCACUUUACCACCGAACGACCAAACGGUGCACCUAGUCUGACCAGAGCGAUGUGUACACCAGUGUGACAGUGCGCAUUAACCCAUUCCCCCGUACCUACCGAGCGGCUGGUGUCGAUCGGGGCUGCCACUGGGUGACGAUAAUGAUGGGUGGUAUAUGAGCUCGCUGCCAUACACUACGCCAGCGCGGUCGGUCGUCACUGCG